UUUGGCAGUUAAACAUGAUACACACGAGAAAUCCAGUUCUGCAUUUUAUUUUGUUCUUAAAAAAUUCUUUACUGAAGCUGUCGAAAUAACCCAGUAACUUAAGCAAAACUCAACUUCGCUCAAAGAUUUCUCCCAACUUUAAGGUUCUGUGAUGGUAGUUGUUCGUCUAAAUCAAAAACAAAAGUUGUUAAUGCUAAGAGUUCAAAAGUAUAGGCAAAGCCAAGAGACUAGGAAAAAAACUGUCAACACAUUCAGGAACUCAGAGGAUUAGCCAGUGUUUGUCCUCCCAAUGGGGUGCAGUGUGGACAUAAUCCAGUCCUUACCAGGGUAUACAAUGUGGCAGUAGGAAGCGACACAGAGUCUCAAAUUUAUAACAAAGUUGUAGCCCCUAAAUCUGUUAAAUGGUUGCGUAGAACUUAAAAACAACUUCUCCAGGAGUUCCCUUUGUGGCACAGCAGAAACAAACCUGACUAGUAUCCAUGAGGAUGUCGGUUUGAUCCCUGGCCUCACUCAGUGGGGAUUAAACUCGCAACCUCUGGAUACUAGUCGGAUUUAUUUUGCUGUGCCCCAACAGGAACUCCCUGGUGUUGGUGUUUUGCGGUUUUUUUUUUUUUUUUGGUCUUUUUAGGGCCACACCCUCAGCAUGUGGAGGUUCACAGGCUAGGGAUCCAAUCCAAGCUGUAGCCACCGGCCUACACCAGAGCCACAGCAAUGCAGGAUCCAAGCCACAUCUGCGACUUAUACCACAGCUUACGGCAAUGCCAUAUCCUUAACCCACUGAGCAAGGCCAGGGAUCGAACCCACAUGCUCAUGGAUACUAGUCCGGUUCGUUAAUCGCUGAGCCAUAACGAGAACUCCCUGCUGCUGGUGUUUUAAGCUAAUGUGGAAUAGGUUCUCAACUUCCAACUGAAAUAAACCUAGAACCUAGACCGUGUUGGACUGACCUGCUAGAUAUGUGUGAUGUGUCUCUAAGGCUAUCAGAAUAAAUAUGUCCAGAUCGUUCCACAAAGCGGGACUUAAGCAUGUCACAUGAUCCAUGAUUUGCACCCUCUAGUUUAUGGAGCUCAAUUGCACUGAACUUCCUUCCUCUAAAACAGCAUACUGUAUAGCUCAGUGGGACUUUUUACAGGAGGACAGUUUCAGUGGAGAUGGCCUGGGUAUCACAUUUCCCUUUCACAGAAAGUAAUGCUAACUGUAACAGUUUCCAGCCCUCUAGCCUAUACGGCACUCAGCAAACCUGGCGAUUUCAUUCACACAGUUAGCACACCAGCUGCUGCAGAAGAGCACGUGGGCGUUUGCAUUACAGCCAACAAGCAUCUGUGCUCCAGGAACCUGAAGAGCUGGGAAUCUGAGCCGGCCCUCACGUUCCACUUUACAGAGAAGCAGAGAUAUUUCACAGGGAUUUCAGCUCCCAUGUGCUUGAGGGUCUCCAGGUCCAGAGUGAGAGGCGCGUGGCUUUUAUACAAGCCGUCCUCCCCUUAGCCGAUGGCACUUGUGCUGGGAAUCACAGCAUAUGUAUCCUAAAAGGCCCUUAUUCCCAUAUAAGGAACUGGGUCCUCGAGGGGGAAUAAUUCAAUUUGGAGCAUCAUGCAGUCACCACACUAGUCCUCGCCCCACAACAAAGCUUGUCCAGGAUGCUAUAGAACACAAGUGGCAAUGCACUGCCAUAAGCUGGCUGCCCUAUAAAUCGGUUGCAUCCAAAACUGAGUAACAUCAGGAGGUCAUUUAGAAAUAUCUUGAAUUUUAUAAUAAUAAUAGGGUCAGAGGAGUCUCCGUCGUGGCUCAGGGGUUAACGAAUCCGACUAGGAACCAUGAGGUAGCGGGUUCUAUCCCU
rnacentral:lncRNA from 1 species